CCGCCAGGUGAAGCUAUUGUUCCUUUUAAAAUACAUAAUAAACAUUAACUAAUAAACCCUCACAGAAUCUACACAUCUGACAUAUUUACAUAGAGGUUUGUUUUGCUGAAUGUGAGAUAUUCCUUCUCUUAUUUCCUCUCCAUUUUCAAGGUUUGAGAGAGCAUCAUGGAAUUCCUUCCAAGGAUGCAAGAGGAAGAAGAAUCUCUUUCAAUUUCCAGUAGAAUUCAUUGCAGUGAGUUUAUGCCAACAAUUGAUCCCAGCACCUGUGUGCAGGACCUGCUGCUUUUGGAACCCAACUGCCAUGAUGUGAGAAGCCCAAGUCACAUGGAGAAGCUCUACCUAUACUCCCUGCCAACAGCCAACAUCAAUUGCUAGUCAUGGGAGUGAGCCAUCUUGGCCAUCCAGCCCAACUGAGGAUGACUGCAACUGCCUGAGAGAUCCCACACAACUCACAGAAAUGUUCAGUCAACUCACAGAAAUGCGAGAGACAAUAUUAAAUUUAAGUUUUCAGGUGGUUUGUUAUACAGCUGUAGGUAACAGGGAUUUUAAAAAUACCAAUUUUAUUCAUUCAAACAGGUCUUUUAUCUUUCUGUUAGUCUUAUAAGGGAAAUUCUGCUUUCUGUUUUCUCUAUUUUGCUCCUGGAAUCCUUCAGUCUGUAUUGAAGUUUGAUAGGUGACUUCUCUUAGGAAGAGCUGAAAGACACUGCUAGAUAUAUUCUCAAUUCAAAAUGAAACACUUAUUUUAGUGGAGUGAAGAUGUGAUUCCGGCAAUAUUUAAAAGUAAACCAUAAUGAGGGGUACACUAGGGGUACUACAGUUCAUUGAAAAAUGCACUCUCAUUAUCAGGUAGGUGUAGACAGAUAUUUGUGUUCAGAAAGAAAAAAAAAAAAAAACCAG